UCCUACAAAAGUUUUAUUGAGCACCUCCUAUAACCAGACCCUGAAACUACAAUAGUUAAUAAAAAACAGAGACCUGUCUCCCCUAAUAAUCUAAAGCCCACAGGCCAUUAAGGGAACAAACAUGUGAAAAAUUAGUAACACGCUACACCAUUUCAUCUCUUUUUGUCUUUCUCUUUGUUUUAAAUACCCCCAUGUAGUCUAGGGGUGAAUACCUAUACACCUCGAAAACGGGGCUUGGCUGUUGCUCUUCUUAGAAAUUUCCCCACCACACCCCUUCCACCAUAUUCAUUCCUUCCUUUGAAUGUCCCUGUAUCUUGUACAUUCUCAAAUUGGUAGCCUUGUAAUUUGUUUAUUUGCGUGCCUAUCUCUCCUACCAGACUGUUAAUGUCAUGCGAGUUAUGGUUCGUCUUUGUGAUCCCAGCUCUCAGCACAGGGCUUAGCACCUACCAAGCACUCCAUAAAAGUGGAUGAAUGGAUACUUUGUACUCUUCCCUCUCCAAUCCCUUUCUCAUUUUCCAACAUGCAUUAAAAGAAAGGAAUAUGAAAUAAUCCAUUUGAUUGACAAGAAAACAUUUUUUCCUACCUUAGUAGUUAUAUUCAUGUAUAGUGAAGCCCUAUUAAUGUGACUUUCUCAAUUCAGAAUGAAUUAUAUUGUUUAUAGAGCAGGACUGAAAUAUUAUUUCAUGUAUAAGGAAGGGGGUUGCCAAGCAGAGAACUGUGUGAAUGAAACUGCUGGGGGCUUGUUUAAUCCAUUUCAUAUAUUUUAAUAGCAUCCGUUUAUAUCCAUUCAGUUACCGGACUGAUUACAAAUGAUAACAAAAGAGUCACCUGUUUAUUAAGUUCGUGUAAGUUAACAGCCAAGAAAUCCAGUGCUAUUUCCAGUUGUCUAGAUUACUUAAGGCAAAAUGAAAUGAGUAUAAGCAGCACCACUAAGAAACUGCUGCUAUGUUGGGCUCCCUGUGUUUCACUGUGAUGUCUUCACUUCCUCUCCCGUUACGCAGAAGAGAUUUCUGUGACAUUGUAGAAGACAGCUUCCUAUGAGUUUCAUCAGAACGUGUAAAAUUCUAAAAUUGUCAUUCCAUGACUCUGCAAUUCGUUUUAUUCCCCACACACAUUCAUUUUUUUAAAAAACUUACACAAGAAAAUGUAAUAUAGGUUUUAUAUUUUAAUGAAGUUUUUGUAGUUUCACACUUAUGUUUUUAGGACCUGGAAACUUAGGGAUAUGGUAGGGGCCUGCUAUUUUUCAUUAUAAGCCUUAUUGUGCUAUUUGA